GAUGAACGCUGGCGGCGUGCCUAAUACAUGCAAGUCGAACGAAACUUCUUUAUCACCGAGUGCUUGCACUCACCGAUAAAGAGUUGAGUGGCGAACGGGUGAGUAACACGUGGGCAACCUGCCCAAAAGAGGGGGAUAACACUUGGAAACAGGUGCUAAUACCGCAUAACCAUAGUUACCGCAUGGUAACUAUGUAAAAGGUGGCUAUACUACCGCUUUUGGAUGGGCCCGCGGCGCAUUAGCUAGUUGGUAGGGUAAAGGCUUACCAAGGCAAUGAUGCGUAGCCGAAUUGAGAGGUUGAUCGGCCACAUUGGGACUGAGACACGGCCCAAACUCCUACGGGAGGCAGCAGUAGGGAAUCUUCCACAAUGGGCGAAAGCCUGAUGGAGCAACGCCGCGUGGGUGAAGAAGGUCUUCGGAUCGUAAAACCCUGUUGUUAGAGAAGAAAGUGCGUGAGAGUACUGUUCACGUUUCGACGGUAUCUAACCAGAAAGCCACGGCUAACUACGUG
rnacentral:rRNA from 1 species